AAUGAACGCUAGCGGCAGGCUUAAUACAUGCAAGUCGAGGGACAGCACAGGUAGCAAUACUGGGUGGUAACCGGCAAACGGGUGCGGAACACGUACACAACCUUCCUUUAAGUGGGGGAUAGCCCAGAGAAAUUUGGAUUAAUACCCCGUAAUAUAGUUGGAUGGCAUCAUUUGAUUAUUAUAGCUACGGCGCUUAAUGAUGGGUGUGCGGCUGAUUAGAUAGUUGGCGGGGUAACGGCCCACCAAGUCUACGAUCAGUAGCUGAUGUGAGAGCAUGAUCAGCCACACGGGCACUGAGACACGGGCCCGACUCCUACGGGAGGCAGCAGUAAGGAAUAUUGGCCAAUGGACGCAAGUCUGAACCAGCCAUGCCGCGUGAAGGAUUAAGGUCCUCUGGAUUGUAAACUUCUUUUAUUUGGGACGAAAAAGGGCCUUUCUAGGUCAACUGACGGAACCAGAUGAACAAGCACCGGCUAACUCCGUGCCAGCCGCCGCCGUAAGAC
rnacentral:rRNA from 1 species